rnacentral:lncRNA from 1 species
CUGAGCUACACUUGUCUCAGGUCUCAGGUGUCAGGCUCUGGAGCACUCAGGCUGACUCAGAAACUGACUCUCGGGGGAUCAAAAAAGGAGCAACUGUUCAAAAAUGAUGGAUCCCAUUUUUCAAGACUUGCCAUGCCACACAAGAUGAGACCCCACCGAGACAGGCUCUAACAGGCAUCAGGAAAAGAGGAUGCAGUGUGUUUCUUCACAGGGUCAGACCAGGGAGCUCCAGCCGGCCGGAGCUCCAGGAAGUGGAUUCUGAAGGCGUCGAGGGUGACCGUUGGUAGGUUUUAAGGGUGAAGAAGAGAUCACAGUCGGAGCAAACCAAAGAAGAGUCAAGUGCCAGCUGCCUAAGAAAGAGGAGAGAGGCCCAGAGGGCAGGACCCGAGUCGGGUGAAGGGGCAGGGACGGAGAGAGGGAAUCGGGAGCUGAAGAGAGACGUGCUGGGAGAGGCUGCCUCAGGGCGAGGGGGUGCAGGAGGAAGACAAGGCCCAGGGGCCUUUUCACAAGACUCUGCUGGGCAGGUGUGACGUCAUCUCCUCUCCAGCACGCUCGGAGGAACGCAGAUGUUCUCUUACCGCUCAGUGCACGCUGCAGGGCUCUGAAUCCAGCUCGGGGGCAGGCCCCAGACUGGGCCCCUCCUCACAGCUUCUCUGGCCACUUUCCAGUUACAGUCAAUAUGAAUAGAUUAGGCAGUUUCACCACCUGCCCCAAAUUGCUAUUUUUAAUAAGUUAAACUGGAGCAUCUUUAAGAAUUUCAAAGUCUCUAGGAAUUUAAAUGUAUUAAAUGUAUACUUAUGCAAA